rnacentral:lncRNA from 1 species
GACUUUAGAAACGAGGAACUGGAAGACUUCUCCAUAAGAGCUUUCUCUUUGAGCUAAAGGAUGAAACCUCUAAAGCUCUACUUGACUCAGUUUAGUUGCUUUCAGGAUGAAGUGUAAGGCUUACCACCCUGCAUGCUCCAUGCUACACAACAUGAAGACCCUGAUGCUUUUAGGACUUGUGCUCUUGUGUAGCCAGUUCACACUGAGCUUGGCCCAGGAGGAAGAACAAGGCUCAAAAGUCAUCUCAGAGGUCGCUAACAGUUUGCAGAAUACUCUGACAAAUGCUGUGAAAGAGCUCAACAAGGUGGACUUGAUAAAAGAAAUUGAGGACGCACCAAUUAUUGGAAAUGUGCUGAAGGCAUUGAGUGGAAUGAUUGGGAAAAUAGUUUCGUUCAACAUUAAAAAUGCCCAACUCCUGAAAAUUUCCCUCACAGAAAAUCAAGACAAAAAGAGUCUCUCUCUCAGUGUGCCCUUGGAUGUCUCUCUGAGUUUGAACACAUUGCUUCUCAAGGCGAUUGAUAUCACUCUAAAUGCGAACACAUCACUUGAACUCACAACUGAAAAGAAUGAAGAUGGAGAAGCUCGCCUGAGUGUUUCCAAAUGUCAGACAAGCUCUCAACUUCUUAAAAUCUCAUCCCAGCAAACGGGUUUAUUUGGAUGGGGACUAGAAGCUUUAUCUAAAUCCGUGAGCCGACUUGCUGAGUGGGAGGUCAAGCAAUUAGUCAACAUUCUCAAGUGUGAUGGGUCCAUAGGUCAACUCCCAGGUCAGUUCUGCCCUUUGAUCAGAACCGUAGUAGGACUGGCGCCUCCAGCACUGGUAGGCGCUUUGCAUGAUGUGGUACAUGGGGACGUCACUGUUACUGUGUAAUUCUCCAUUAAAUGGACAAUAACUUCCCUCCUCCCCCAAGGAUAAGACCCUCUUGCUCUUCUUUUCCUUCUGCCUGAAGCCAUUUAAAGCCAGAGGACAACUUACUGGAU